rnacentral:rRNA from 1 species
AUUGAACGCUGGCGGCAUGCUUUACACAUGCAAGUCGAACGGUAACAGGCCGCAUGGUGCUGACGAGUGGAGAACGGGUGAGUAAUGUAUCGGAACGUGCCCAGUCGCGGGGGAUAACUACUCGUAAGAGUAGCUAUUACCGCCUACGAUCUAUGGAUGCACGCUGGGGGCCGCCAGGGUUUGCGCGGUUGGGUGGGCAGAUGUCGGCUCACGUAGUUGGCGGGCGAAAGGCACACCAAGACAAUGACCUGUCGCAGUCAUGCGAGGACGGGCAGCCACACUGUGACUGAGGAACGGCCCAGACACCUACAGUGAGCAACAGUGGGGAAUUUUGCACGAGGGACGCGAGCCUGAUCCAGCAAUGCCGCGUACAGGAAGAAGGCCUUCGGGUUGGAAACUGCUGUUGUACGGAACGAAGCAGCACUGUUUAAUACCCGAGGCUAAUGACGGUACCGGAAGAAUAAGCACCGGCUAACUACGUG